rnacentral:rRNA from 1 species
UACGGAGGAUGCGAGCGUUAUCCGGAUUUAUUGGGUUUAAAGGGUGCGUAGGCGGACUGUCAAGUCAGCGGUAAAAUUGAGAGGCUCAACCUCUUCCCGCCGUUGAAACUGGUGGUCUUGAGUGGAUGAGAAGUACGCGGAAUGCGUGGUGUAGCGGUCAAAUGCAUAGAUAUCACGCAGAACUCCGAUUGCGAAGGCAGCGUACCGGCAUCCAACUGACGCUGAGGCACGAAAGCGUGGGGAUCAAACAGG